AACACCACACAACACACACCACCAAUUCUUAUCUUCUCACCUAUAACCAAUCACAAUCAUUUUGUCACAACUAGCAUGUUAUAUCUCAACCUUCAAAUUGAAAAAAUAACCAAUACUAGUAGUUUGCAGGAUGAGUUUUAGGGAACCGUAUUAAUGAAUAACCACUUUGACUAAUAUCAAAACAUGACAGUAGGGAAAAUUACAAAUUUUAUAACACAAAAAGCUUCCUUGAGAGGACCUAUCAAUACUCAGCCAACCUUUCUGCUUAAAAUGUCACUAACUUUUGGAUGGGAGGACAAACAUUUGUCCUCAUUUUUAUAACACAAGCAUUUGCACUCGAUUACUUAGUUAGUACUAAUUUCAAGUAUUAUAAGUGCGUUUUAUGCUCCAUCUCACACUUUUAUAUCAAACAUGUUUUUAGUA
rnacentral:lncRNA from 1 species